rnacentral:rRNA from 1 species
ACGGCUCAGUAACACGUGGACAACCUGCCCUUAGGUUGGGUAUAAACCCGAGGAAACUGGGUAUAAUACCCGAUAGGUCUCGAUUGCUGGAAUGCAUCGAGAUUUAAAGCUCCGGCGCCUAAGGAUGGGUCUGCGGCCUAUCAGGUAGUAGUGGGUGUAGCGUACCUACUAGCCUACGACGGGUACGGGUUGUGAGAGCAAGAGCCCGGAGAUGGAUUCUGAGACACGAAUCCAGGCCCUACGGGGUGCAGCAGGCGCGAAAACUUUACAAUGCUGGCAACAGCGAUAAGGGAACCUCGAGUGCCAGGUUACAAAUCUGGCUGUCGAGAUGCCUAAAAAGCAUUUCAUAGCAAGGGCCGGGCAAGACCGGUGCCAGCCGCCGCGGUAACACCGGCGGCUCGAGUGGUAACCGUUAUUAUUGGGUCUAAAGGGUCUGUAGCCGGCCGGAUAAGUCUCUUGAGAAAUCUGGCAGCUUAACUGUCAGGCUUUCAGGAGAUACUGUCUGGCUCGAGGCCGGGAGAGGUGAGAGGUACUUCAGGGGUAGGGGUGAAAUCUUGUAAUCCUUGAAGGACCACCAGUGGCGAAGGCGUCUCACCAGAACGGACCUGACGGCAAGGGACGAAAGCUAGGGGCACGAACCGGAUUAGAUACCCGGGUAGUCCUAGCCGUAAACGAUACUCGCUAGGUGUCGGCCACGGUGCGACCGUUGUCGGUGCCGUAGGGAAGCCGUGAAGCGAGCCACCUGGGAAGUACGGCCGCAAGGCUGAAACUUAAAGGAAUUGGCGGGGGAGCAC